CCAGCGCGGCCCCCAGCCCCUCGGGACAGGCCUGGCCCUAGCUGGAGGCGGGCUGCGGGGAAGCGCUGCAGUGGCCUGCGGAACUGGAGGGUAGGUUGCAGCGCUCCAGCUACAACGUCGGACUCGGUGAGCUUUUCUAUAGCGGACUGUGGCCGUAAGGAAGUAAAUAAAAAUACACGUACCAGAAAAAAUCUGUUUCAAUGGCAGCAUUGCUUCCACUCUGUUGAACAGGCCUAAUGUGUUCAGGGCUGCCAGGAGUCCGCAGGGACACCUGUGCACGUGGAGCUGCUGCACAUGCAGCCUCUAACCAUGAAGAGUCAUCAAUUGUUUAACGCACACAAGCUGUAGUUUCUAAAUGUGCAUACAGUUACUGCUCACACAAAGCUGAAGAGGCAAGCGUGCAGCACAAAUGAUAAUACCAAGUUUGAAGUAUCAAGUAUGAUGUUUUAUCCUCUUCCAUGCAAAUACCUGAAGUGAUUCCAUGGAUUUCAAAAUCAUUCUUUGCUUUUCGACUGCUGUGUGAAGAGUGAGCAAGCAGGAAUGCACAGCACUGCACUUGGGUGCCCCAGUGCCCAACAGUCUUCCUCCUCGGCAAACUGCUCUAAUGGUGCCCGGUGGAAAAGCCCUGCGUUCUGCAAGCAUGUCUUCACAGGACUCACACGUAGGCCUGACGAGACACGGCGAAGUUCCUUGACGCAGUCACAGGUAUCGGCAUGUUCCUGGCGAAUCCCAAGCGAGGAGAUCCGGUUUCCAAGCAGUCCUGCUGCGAGACUUUCUACACAAUCACACCGUCACAUGCUGACAGUCGUCCAAGAGCUCUCUGCAUGCCAACCAGCAAAGCAGCCUGGCACAGUUUGAAAUACGGCAGCGUUCCGUCAUCCACAAAAUGUCUUCAGAUUACAGAGAUAGUCUUUCAAUUUGGAGGAAUCGAAUGGAUAUGUAAGAGACUGAUUUGUAGUUAUAUGCUUCAGCCUCUGCUUCCAGAGAAACCAACUCACCAACCAAAACUAACACAAGCCACCUCACUGAGAAAUACUGGAAGAGUGAGUAUUACCUCAACAAAGCUAAAAACUUGCAAGGAGAGGAAACUUCCCAGUCCUGAAUGACAUUCACAGUGAGCUGACACGGCUUUCCAGAGCUCCAGACACAAAGAUGAUCCUGCGUUACAAGAAGAGUGUUGUGGGCACUCAGGCUGGUGGAGAUCCAAACCAGAAGGGAACCACACUUAGCAUAACAAACACUGCUAAACAAGGCAAUGGAUAACUGCAGAAAAACAGUACUAAAUUGCGUCAUUUCACAAACAUCACAGGGUAGGCAUAACAUGGACCAAAGGAAUGAUGACAGCAGCACUAGAUCAAAGAAAUUAUUCACAGAAGCUUAAAAAGAAAAAAAAAGGAUUAAAUCAAGUGACGCACAUAAUAGAAAUGAAUGCUGGUACACAAGUACACAAGCAGGCAUUGUGCCAAAAACAGCAGUGUCACUAAUAAAGAAAAACAAGUGUGGCUGAGUGAUAACAAAAGUGAGUUAGGAGAACGUGUGUGCCAUGGAUGCCGCUGCCUAACUUGGAAAAGGAAACUGCCUGCCAAUGCUCUUCAGAGUAAUUACGUUUUUUGUUAAAAAUAUGUGAAGCUCUCAUUCUCUUCAGCAGUGCCUUUACACCCGAGGAUGACACUGCCAACAGCCCACUGUUGCUGUGAGCAAGACUAACUGCAGAAAACAGCAUCUGCUCUCAGUCGUGUGCAAAGGUCCUGUAACAAAGAGCUCAGUGGCACCCUCAGUGCCUUGACAUUCACACUUAUCAAUGAUGCAGUGCUUCUUGUCCUUCCUAGAAGCAACAGCAUCACUUUGAACGUUCAGUGGAUCUCUGUGGGACUUUUAAACAUCUGUAGUCUGGACUGAAUGGCCACUCUUACUUGUAUGCUCCAAAAUCAAAGCAAACAGCUCACGUGCAGUCCUGGUAUCACCUCUAGUAAGGGGAGAGGAAAAAUCUCUGCAGAAAAAUUGGAUGUGGCACUUUUUACAGGUUUCAUCAUACCCAAACAUCACCCUAAUUUCUCACAAAGCAAAAGAGACUUGACCUAACGUUGUUUCCCUUCCCCCACCAAAAGCCAGUUUUGAGUUUCAGAUCUUACUGAGCUUCAAGGAAUUUUAAUUCCCUGAAAGGUAGUGACAUUCAGAGCUGCAUACAUGCCAGGGUUCGUGGCUGUUCCUUGUACAUUUCAAGUUCAGUUACGUUCCAUGUAGUCCUUCAAAAUGAGAGGGAAUCUGUUUCAGCCAACAACUAUGAGCUUAGCAGCUAUCACCACACUGUGGGGAAAUACUGGUUGCAGAAAAUGCAACACAGUGGGCUCAGUAGUGGGGGAGGAAACCUGCAAGAUUUCAUACCACUAGGAAAGUCAGAUACCUCAUGAGCCUGAUACCAGCCUAUAAUCUGCACCAUACCAUAAUCAGCUUCACAUUUUAUCCAAAUAAACUAAUAUUAGAGAGCACAGAUACAUGCAAAUCAAGUUACUGACACAAGUAUUAGACAGGAUUUUAAAGGAUGGAAAAUAAAAUGAAAAUAUGGGGACAAAUAAGGCCGUAAGUUAUCCUUUUUAUCCCUUUAUACAAGAGUUCUAGUUUUUUACAUUCUGUUACAUGACCAAAAUUCUGAAUAUACUUUUAUAAAUGUACUUAGGAAAAUUCAUUCUUUUUCUACAACACAGUGUUAUAACUAACAGACCUCAGGACAGUUUGAUAUAGGCGAGCAGUUUGGGGCAGAAACUGCAUAAAUGUAUGGUGGGAUUGGAAGAUAAAAAACAGUUGUCAGGCAGUGCAGUACCAUAUCUGCCCUUAAAAUACGGGCAUUCCUUUUCCUCUCCUUGCGCUCUACAUGGACCUCCUCAAACGUAACCAGAAUGUAUCAUUAUUGCAGCAUCAGUCACUUUGCACUACUUUUUCAGUUAAGGCAAGCUAAACAAAGUAUUCUGUUAUAACACAAACAACUCUGAUGAUUAGUUUCUAAAAUUUACUUGCAACAUAAAGCACUUCAAAUGAGCAGCAGUGCAGGAAGCUGCCUGACAGCACUUGCUUCAUACUCAAAGCCCCCUGUGCACACCCUGCUCACUUACUCACCCCGCUCACUCUCCACCACAGACUCAACCCAGACAGAGCCUUGCUAACCGCAGUGCAUGGACAUAUAACCACUAUCAAACUAUACUCACUGGUAUCAAAAUAGCCCUCUGGGAUCAGAUCUCUUUUGCAACCCUCACUCGCUGAAGUGAGCAGUGCAGAACGGGCACCCAAACAACAUCUCUACUGGCAAGUUCAGCUAUCAGGAGGAGGAGAACAGCACCAAUACCGAACUCCAGAUAGGGACACGGAUCACUUAGGUUGGAAAAGACCUUUAACAUCACCAUGCCCAACCACAGCCUAAUUUACUUCAGCCUUCUGUUAUCUUGGAGAUGCACAUUGUCAAUACUGCCUUGAGGCAUUUACUUACAUGGAAGUUUUGCACAGGUUUUACAUAGGUUCCAUGUGUAUGAGGAAAAGAAGUGUGCUGGACCUGAUUUUAAGUCCUAUAGAGUUCUACAAAAACAAAACCAAGCAAAAAAACCUAUCAACCACAUAUAGCAAAAUACUAAAGAUAACAGGUUGCUUUACAAAUACAUGCAAAUUAAGUUCUUAAUGUGUCAAAUAUACAGCUUGCAGCAUGUGCUAGCAAGAUCUGGGGCAAGCUUCAAUAGAUAUGCAUACAUCACAUCAUCACAUCAAUUACUGUGCUGUUAAAUGCUUUGAAGCUGAAGUUAUCCAAUAUACCUCUUGAAGUAUAAGCCCUAGUUGCUAAAAAAAACCUCCUCCCAACUCACAGUACGAUAAGACCUGCAUUUGUUCUUAACAUAGACUGUGGUGUUCAGCUUAUAAAAAGUUUCACAAAACAGGUCAGCUAGCUGAGUAUGCCCAAGAUCUGAGCAGUAUGUGCGGGAAGGUAUGCUAAAGCUAAGCUAAGUAUAAUAAAAAAAGCUCUCAAAGUA